rnacentral:lncRNA from 1 species
ACCCACCAGCUUCUGCGGGAUUGAGAAGCCGCUGGGGAUCCCCCUGCUCCCCGUUUCCUCCUCAAGACUUUGGAGCAUAUGAGGUGGUGGUAGGAGCGCGGGGCUGAGUCAGGUGCAGGGAUGAGGACUCUGCCCGAGGAGCCGCAUGCCUGCUCCUCUGAGCUCCCUGCGGCCCAUCAGUUAGCGUCUUGGCAGGUGACCCCUUCUGGGCUGGAGGAGGUGGGUGGAAUGUGUGUCGGGGGAUGGGGGGUAGACCUGACAUCACCUUCUGGAGAGCAAAGGGGUUUUUGGCAGUAGGACCAACAGGUUCCCUAGGGGGUGCCCACCCACCGCUGGGUCUGGGGGGAUGCUGAGGCAGACACAGCCGGUGGGAGAUGCCAAAACCCAGUCUACAGCUUUCUGUCUGCCAAGACAAGGAGAGGAGCGGAGCUGGGGCCUCCAGGCCACUUGGGCUUCCCCUCCUCCCUCUGCCAAGGCCUGCAGAAGCCGGGCUAGCCAGGGCCCGAUAGGAAGAGGGAAUUGGGAGAGAAGCCUGAUUCUGCCAGAACCUGUCACGGGGCCUGUAUGGCUCAGUACAGGCAUCUGCUGAAUGAGAAACCUUUUCAAAACAACGAUCACAGCAGGCCUCUUGCACAAAACCCUCCCAGGGCUCCCCAGGGCUCCUAGGACACCCCAUCUGCGGCUUCAACUCACUGCCACUUCUCCAGCUCCCCAUUACCCCCGAGCUGCACUUUCCCACAUCAGGGUCUUCGCGCGUGCUGUUCCCUCCUCCCUGAACAUUGGUCCGUGUCCCUCCCUUCUUCCCCCAGUUCACAGCCUUGUGCUUGAGGUCACAGCUGUCAGUCAGUUUCCCAGGAAAGCCUUACUGGAUCUCGCUGAUGGGUCCUGUCAGCUUCUUUUUUUCCCCAGUCCAGUAGAUUUCCUUUCCUUAGAAUGUAGUUUCCCAAACUGCCUUGAAAAUAGAGUCAUGUGAAAUAUAUAUGUUUUAAAAAUACAGAUUGCUUGACCCUUUCCUAUCCCUAGAGUCAGAAGCUCGGAGAGAGGGAGAUGGGUGAUGUUGAACCACCACCACGGGCUGGCAGCAGAGGGACGCCCCUACCCUAGGUUCUAAGCGCCAGGAAGUGGGCACCACCAUUUCUUUAUCGUUGCAACCCCACCUCCAGCACAGUGUCUGGCAUGGGAUCUGGCUCAAGACAUUUUUAUUAAGUGGAUGGAUGGCUAUAGAAUGAAUGAAAUUAGUCACAGUAACUAACUGUGAUUCAAUUCUGAGCAUACUGUACUUCUUACCCGGCCUACGCAAGACUAGCCCACAAGAAGAAUGCCAAGGUGGAUGAUGUGGGCGCUGGGAAUCAGAGCUGAGAGAGAGUGAACAGGAUGUUAAUAAAACCCAAAUGGGGUCCAGGAUUGAGGCGAGUAUGGGAAGAGGACACAAGUACCCACCCUGAUGUAGCUGGACCCACCUCCUGCUGGGAGGGCAUCUCUCCCCAAAGUCAGGUGGAGGCAGAGAAUCGGUUACACCUGUUGGGGAACUGAUGACCCAGACAGGACAGGGUAACAAUGACAGCAAUGAAGAUGUGCCUUUUGGGCAUCGGGAUAUUGCUAGGCAACUGCUUUGAGCAUUUUGCACUUCAGGUCAUGCAUUCU